AAAGUCGUAACAAGGUUUCCGUAGGUGAACCUGCGGAAGGAUCAUUACAAGUAAUAAGUACCCAGUACCUAUUAUAAACCCAUCCGUGUAUCUUACCCGUUGCUUCCGUGGCGCGGUGCACCGCCCUGGCGCAAGCCCUGGCGGGGCUCCCCCACGGGAGGUACACACCAAAAACAUUGCAUUGCCAUGAUGUCUGUCUGAAAUGAAAACAACAAAAGUUAAAACUUUCAACAACGGAUCUCUUGGUUCUC
rnacentral:misc_RNA from 1 species